CUGGUCUUUCCUGUGCUAUUCCUGUGAGAGUGAAUAAGUCACGAGAUCUGAUGGCUUCAUCAGGGGUUUCCGCGUUUGCUUCCUCAUCAUUUUUUCUUGCUGCUGCCGUGUAAGAAUUGCCUUUCACCUCCCACCAUGAUUCUGAGGCUUCCCUGGCCAUGUGGAACUGACUUCAGGGAUGCAGGCCAAGCUCCAGAAGUCCAAGCCCACCUGGGGGCUGUGACCCAAGAAUGGGACCCAACAGCUUUAGCUCCGUACUCUCUGGCUCUAGCCCAGCUCACAGAACUCCCGAGGGGCCACCACUGUCCCCCCAGAUACCUCCACUGACUCAUCGGCCCCCCAGGGUGUCUGCUGGUGGUCGGUGGCAGCCCUCCUUCUCCACCUUGAGGUUCCCAAGCACAUCUGCCUCUGGCUGCUGAUGCCACCUCUGCAGGCUCAGAGCUGCUGCCCUGCCCCAGGCUACGGCCCCUGCCUGUUGUUGCUCCUCCCUCUGAGUGGCAGUGCCUGCAGCUCACUGGGGUCUCACAGCUGGAGUGCUGUAGGUAUAUCCUCUAUUCACCGGGAAAAUGUCUGUGUUGGGCUACACACCAGGAUCCCUGGGGCCCAGCUUUUUCCUGCCACCUCUUCUAGAUCUUUCCCCUAACCCACAGUCCUGGCUUAUCUCCCUGGGAGCCUGAGAACCCUCUGAGGCACUCCACAGUGCUUCACUCAAAUCAUUCUUUCCCUUCCGUGCCCACGCAAACCUGUGCCUCAGGCAAGCCUUUCUCUCGUCAAGGGUGGCAAAGACUGUCUCCUUGAUAAAAUUUUAACCAGGCUCCUCUGAACCCUCUUUCCACCUAGAUCUUGGCCUUGGUCUGUCCUUAGCAGGCUAAGCCCAGUUUUAGCAAAGAAUCCUACUAACUCAGUUGAUGAAAAUCUUCCUAUCCUUGAUAGCUGAUCAAACUCCUCUUCCUCCACCCCUGAUUCCUACCCAAACUCCUCCCAGUAAUUUUCCCUCCACCCCUUCUCCCUGCUUUCUGUAAAUUCCUGCUUGCCCCUGGUAUAUUCCAAGUUGAGUUCAAUCUCUCUCCCCUGCUGCAAUAAUCCCAAAUAAAGUCUUGCAA
rnacentral:lncRNA from 10 species